rnacentral:pre_miRNA from 1 species
UCUUAAAAAUGAGCAAAGAAAGUGGCUUCUUAAGAUGGAAUCUACUCCUGAUAAAGAUGCUAUGAA